rnacentral:hammerhead_ribozyme from 1 species
AUCCGGCUGAUGUGUCCCAAAUAGGACGAAACAAGCAUCCUGGAU